UACAGAGGUCUCAAGCGUUGUUCGGAUUCAUUGGGCGUAAAGCGUGCGUAGGCGGUCCGCGAAGUCUGAUGUGAAAGCCCCGGGCUCAACCUGGGAACUGCAGUGGAUACUGGCGAGCUAGAGUGUGAUAGAGGAUGGUGGAAUUCCCGGUGUAGCGGUGAAAUGCGUAGAGAUCGGGAGGAACACCAGUGGCGAAGGCGGCUCACUGGCCCGGUACUGACGCUGAGGUGCGAAAGCGUGGGGAGCAAACAGG
rnacentral:rRNA from 1 species